rnacentral:rRNA from 1 species
GACGAACGCUGGCGGCGUGCUUAACACAUGCAGGUCGAACGGAAAGGCCCUGCUUUUGUGGGGUGCUCGAGUGGCGAACGGGUGAGUAACACGUGAGUAACCUGCCCUUGACUUUGGGAUAACUUCAGGAAACUGGGGCUAAUACCGGAUAGGAGCUCCUGCUGCAUGGUGGGGGUUGGAAAGUUUCGGCGGUUGGGGAUGGACUCGCGACUUAUCAGCUUGUUGGUGGGGUAGUGGCUUACCAAGGCUUUGACGGGUAGCCGGCCUGAGAGGGUGACCGGCCACAUUGGGACUGAGGUACGGCCCAGACUCCUACGGGAGGCAGCAGUGGGGAAUAUUGCACAAUGGGCGGAAGCCUGAUGCAGCAACGCCGCGUGCGGGAUGACGGCCUUCGGGUUGUAAACCGCUUUCGCCUGUGACGAAGCGUGAGUGACGGUAAUGGGUAAAGAAGCACCGGCUAACUACGUG